rnacentral:rRNA from 1 species
CCCUUAGAUGUUCUGGGCCGCACGCGCGCUACACUGACGAAUGCAACGAGCUUAUAACCUUGGCCGAAAGGUCUGGGUAAUCUCCAAAUUUCGUCGUGAUGGGGAUAGAUUAUUGCAAUUAUUAAUCUUCAACGAGGAAUGCCUAGUAAGCGCAAGUCAUCAGCUUGCGUUGAUUACGUCCCUGCCCUUUGUACACACCGCCCGUCGCUCCUACCGAUUGAAUGGUCCGGUGAAGCGUUCGGACUGUGGCCUUUGGACGGUUCGCCGUCUGUUGGCUGCGGGAAGUUCGUUAAACCUUAUCAUUUAGAGGAAGGAGAANUCGUAACA